rnacentral:rRNA from 1 species
AUGUUUUCGGAUACUGCCAUACAAUUACAAGUACAAAAUAUCCAUGCUAAUGCGCCUGGCGUAACAGCUCCUGGUGCAACAACAGGUACUAGCUUAACGUGGGGAGGCGACGAGUUAGUAGCAGUAGGUGGCAAAGUGGCUUUGUUACCUAUUCCAUUAGGAACCGCAGAUUUUUUAGUCCAUCACAUUCAUGCAUUUACCAUACAUGUGACUGCAUUAAUACUUUUGAAAGGUAUUUUAUUUGCUUGGAGUUCCUGUUUGAUACCCGAUAAAGCAAAUCUAGGUUUUCGCUUUCCUUGCGAUGGGCCUGGCCAAGGGGGAACAUGUCAAGUAUCCUCCUGGGAUCAUGUUUUCUUAGGUUUAUUCUGGAUGUACAAUGCAAUUUCGGUAGUCAUUUUCCAUUUUAGUUGGAAAAUGCAGUAG